rnacentral:misc_RNA from 1 species
AAGUCGUAACAAGGUUUCCGUAGGUGAACCUGCGGAAGGAUCAUUAGCAUACGCGUUGUGACCCGUUGCGCUGUUGUUGAGAUGUAAAAGUCUCUCUCGGCACACACGAGUCCCACAACUGCGCCAAACCCUGUGAACCCGGAAUAUGUAUUAGCUGUGCGGCGAGAAGCGCUGAUGAGAUAGUUUGUUCUAUCUUGGAUGUGUGCCGCGCCGCACAGUCAACUAAACCUGUAACUUGUAAUAAUUACACAAACAAAAAUAUUAACUAAAUACACAACUUUUAACAAUGGAUCUCUUGGCUCCU